rnacentral:rRNA from 1 species
UUAAACUGAAGAGUUUGAUCCUGGCUCAGAUUGAACGCUGGCGGCAUGCCUUACACAUGCAAGUCGAACGGCAGCACGGAGCUU